UGGCGAUUACGCGAUUUGCCGUGACCAGA
rnacentral:miRNA from 1 species